AGAUUGAACGCUAGCGGCAUGCCUAACACAUGCAAGUCGAGCGGUAGCAGGUGUAGCAAUACAUGCUGACGAGCGGCGAACGGGUGAGUAAUGCUUCGGAAUCUACCCAGAGUGGGGGAUAGCCCGGAGAAAUCCGGAUUAAUACCGCAUAUGCCCUACGGGGUAAAGCGGGGGAUCGUAAGACCUCGCGCUGGUGGAUGAGCCGACGUCCGAUUAGCUAGUUGGUGGGGUAACGGCCUACCAAGGCGACGAUCGGUAGCUGGUCUGAGAGGACGACCAGCCACACUGGGACUGAGACACGGCCCAGACUCCUACGGGAGGCAGC
rnacentral:rRNA from 1 species